rnacentral:rRNA from 1 species
GACGAACGCUGGCGGCGUGCUUAACACAUGCAAGUCGAACGAAGUGGCGAACGGGUGAGUAACGCGUAAUCAACCUGCCCUUCAGAGGGGGACAACAGUUGGAAACGACUGCUAAUACCGAAUACUGCAGGAGGGGAUUGAGGCUGAUUAGGUAGUUGGAGGGGGAACGGCCCACCAAGGCGAUGGUCAGUAGGCUGGUUGAGAGGAUGAACGGCCACAUUGGGACUGGGACACGGGCCAGACGCCUACGGGAGGCAGGAGUGGGGAAUCUUCCGCAAUGGACGAAAGUCUGACGGAGCAACGCCGCGUGGGGGAUGACGGGCUUCGGGUUGGAAAGCUCUGUUAAUCGGGACGCGGUACCGGAAUAGAAAGCCACGGCUAACUACGUGCCAGCAGCCGCGGUAAUUC